rnacentral:lncRNA from 1 species
GGGCUGUAAGCCCUCGUGCAAAUUCUAUUGGUGUCCCUAUCUGCGAACUGCCAGCAGGGGCUGUCAAAGCUGUUUGACAGAUCCUCGCCGCUCUCUGAGCAGCUCAGGUCCAUCUGGAUCGUGGCCUGCUGGGAAGUGGAUUUCGUUGUGCAUGCUUGUUGGAGCAUCCUAAAGAAUAUACUGCAUGCACAGACAUUGUUCAUCAGCGUGUCGCUGUGUGUGAUGCUCAGGUUGUUGGGGCAGUCUUCUAUGCAGAGUAAGGGUACAGGAAAGGAGCAACCAUGCCAGGUACAUAUAAAAGGAACAUAUCAAUUGCUUUGGGAGAGUUGCUGAUUCUGGGGUGACCGCAACUUUUGAAGAGACACAAGUGUAAGGGCUGCCAAGACUUCAAGAUGACGAAGGUUUCAGAGACGUUGCAGCAUCGCGACGACUUUUACCCCGUUCCGAUGAAAAGAGAGGAGCGAAAUGUACAUGCCUCUACUGGCUUUUAGGCAUCCGGCUUAUCUAGGGCGAAUCGCUGCUGUGCCGCACCUCAGAGGGGGCAAUGACGAGGGGUGCCCCUGUGCUCGGCAGACGGGAAUCCGUUGCUACGAAAAGGGCGAGACUGUCCGCUUGCACUUCUAUCGCACAUCUCAGACGCAGCCGGUGCUCCCAAAGGCUUUCAAGCACUGAACCUGCAAACCCCAGUCCCAGCAUCAUCAUGACUUCAAAUAUCCACCGACAGCGCAAUGAACGGACCCUCGUUCCAAUGCGUGCCAUACCAGCAAGUAUAUCUAUUGAGAGAUGCUGGCAGCUGUAAUAUCACAGAAUGUAAGGGGCGCGCAGAAAAAGCCCAAUGCAGCUCAAGAUACAGGGGUGUCAAAAGCCAGCAGGGGUCUGUAGAGUGGACUCAGGCGCUCCCGGCAGCAACAGGCCAUUCUGGGAUGUUAUUGGGAGGACCCAAUAUCAUUUGAUGGCAUUGCAACUUGACUCAUUUUCACAAACAAGGUGUUCCGCCGGGACGCUUUGUUCCAAUCAAGUCGGCGAGGCAGUGCCAAAGACGGCCAGAAUGACCUGAAAUGCUUAAUCACAAGCAUGUUAAUCGACCGUUUCGUUUGGAUCACUUUGGAAAGCUGGAGCUCACCUGAUCAUUGACGGGUCAAUCAAAGGCAAGUCAAUGGUGGUGCAGCAGUGCCCGCUUCAUUGGCUGCACAUCCCCAUCGGAGGCGCUGUAUUUACAAAAUACGUCACUCAGAUUAAAACGGGCGCCGACAGCGAUUGAUACCGGCGUGUUGU